GGCGGAUAUCACAUGUGGGCGGUGCCUCUGUUGAACGUUGUGCCCAUAUUAGGAGUAAUUGUGACGGCAAGGCACGUUCGCAGCGGAGGGGGAAAGAGGGGAGUAACCGUAACUCCUCAAUCAUGGAUGUUUUGCAGAGUCUUGAGGUUGGCCUUGAAGUCCACAGACUCUUUGACCUUAGCCCCCAGCAGAGCUCCCAGCAUGGCGUCAGCAGACACCCUCACCCUCCUCAGGUUCGGUCUCUUCAUCUUGCCCUUCAACUCAAAGAUCUUCUGUGACAGAUGAUUCAACUCACCGGAGGCCUGUCCGGUGAGGAAGGCGGUGUCCAUAAUUCAAGAAGACAACAAGGAAAGAUGCAAUUUGUUAUGUUUUUGGAAUUCCAGAUGAAAAAAUUCUUUAGGUUGGCCUUGAAGUCCACGGACUCUUUGACCUUAGAGCCCAGCAGAGCUCCCAGCAUGGCGUCAGCUGAGAUCUUCACUCUCUUGAGAGCAGGUCGCUUCAUCUUACCCUUCAGUUCAAAGAUCUUCUGC